rnacentral:lncRNA from 1 species
AAGUGAAAUUUAUUUCCUUUCGCCCCUCCCCUUAAAUCUGGGCCAGCCUUGUGACUCACUUUGACUAGUAGAAGGUGGAAGUGAUAUUAUGCCAGGUCCAGACUUAGGCCUUAGGAGGCCUGGCAGUUUCCAUUUUCACCCUCUUGGGAUCCAGCCACUAUGAAACCAAGUUCACCUGCUUUAUUGGAGAGAGAAAUGACCUAGAAGAUGAAAGACAGCAAAGGGAGAGCAGGAUGCCCAGCCAGCCACCAGCCAUUCUGACCCCUUCAGCUGAGGCACUGCAUGGACUCCUGAACCUGGAACGGCAGUGUCAAAGGGUUCACAAAAUGUUAGACUUCUGAAGCAAAUCAGAUGGCACCUUUUUUGAAUAAUGAAGAAUCUUUACCCCUGGCAUGAGGAGCUGAGGACAACUCCCACUCCACGAUGUGAAGCCACAGAGUUUCGAGGCCCCAGGACCUCCAGCGUCAAUGUUGUGGGAUGAUGGGUGACAGAGCCAAAGCAUCGCCAUCUUGGACAAGCACGGUCAUUCUGAAGUUCCCCUUGAUCAAAAACUGCCUAAACCCAAAGGAUAUCAGCCUGAUGGCUAAGGUCAGCAUGACCAUAAACCAUAAAUAACAUCUCUGACCAGGAACAUUCCAAACCCCUCCAUGAGACAUGCCAGCCCUGAGAUAACCUCCCCUCCGGCCAGAAAGAUGUCAGACCCAAGAUAACCUCCCCUCCGACCAGAGACAUCCCAACCCUGCCAUAAACUUCUCCCCCACACAGAAACAUUCUGAGCUUGUAAUAAGCCCCCUCAUCCUAAAACCAAUAUAUACUCUUAGUCCGUAAGAGAAAGUGCUCCUGAACAAAAUUGGCCAGAAGCCCCUCUCCGGCUUAUUUUCUCUAAAAUACAUCUGUCGUUAAAUUGAGCCACA